AGAAAGCUAUGAGUAAUGGACAUAGACAUGAGUUAUUAAAACACUAAACAAUUGUAUCUUUUUGGUGGUUUGCUAUUGUACUUGCUACAUGCAAUGAGAAUUACUAUAGUUCACAAUCGAAUGAGUUUUACCAUAGUUAACAAAUGAGUUUCUUUUGGAACAUCUGACUCCUCCUGCCAACAGUUUGAAGCCAUGUCAUAUCAUGUACAACAAUGAAGAUGACAAUGGGAGAGAUAUUUUCCAAAGAUUAUAUUGAAAUUUUAUUGUUUAAUAGAUUGUGCUGAUUUUUUUUUCGACCCAAUUCUUUUUAUGUAAAUAAUUAUAUUAGAGGGUACUUGUGUCUGUUUUGUAUUCUAUAUUUGAUUGAAUUGUAGUUUAGAUGAAUCUUUGGGUUUGGAACAGGAUAUGGAGUUCAUACAUAACCCAUUUUGGUCCUUAAUUGUAUUGUGGAAAAAUUUAUUGCAGAGAGAUGAUUAGAGUCAAAAUAAUUAUGCUGCUA